rnacentral:rRNA from 1 species
GAUGAACGCUGGCGGCGUGCCUAAUACAUGCAAGUCGAGCGAACAGACGAGAGUGCUUGCACUCUCUGACGUUAGCGGCGGACGGGUGAGUAACACGUGGGUAACCUACCUAUAAGACUGGGAUAACUUCGGGAAACCGGAGCUAAUACCGGAUAAUAUUUAGCUUCGCAUGAAGCAAUAGUGAAAGACGGUUCUGCUGUCACUUAUAGUUGGACCCGCGGUGUAUUAGCUAGUUGGUGAGGUAACGGCUCACCAAGGCAACGAUACAUAGCCGACCUGAGAGAGUGAUCGGCCACACUGGGACUGAGACACGGCCCAGACUCCUACGGGAGGCAGCAGUAGGGAAUCUUCCGCAAUGGACGGAAGUCUGACGGAGCAAUGCCGCGUGAGUGAAGAAGGUUUUCGGAUCGUAAAACUCUGUUGUAAGGGAAGAACAAGUACGUUAGUAACUGAACGUACCUUGACGGUACCUUAACAGAAAGCCACGGCUAACUACGUG